UAGAGUUGACCUGGCUCAGAAUCAACGCUGGCGGCGUGCCUCAGACAUGCAAGUCGAACGCGAAAGAGGUCUUCGGGCCUCGAGUAGAGUGGCGCUCGGGUGAGUACACGUGGGUAAUUUACCUUCGGGUGGGGGAUAACAGUCGGAAACGGCUGCUAAUACCGCAUAAUGCAGCGGCUCCAGAUGGAGACAGUUGUUAAAGCGGGGGAUCACCGGAACCUAGCGUCUGAAGAGAAGCCCGCGGCGGAUUAGCUAGUUGGUGCGGUAAUGGCGCACCAAGGCGGUGAUCCGUAGCCGGCCUGAGAGGGCGGUCGGCCACACUGACACUUAAAGACGGGUCAGACUCCUACGGGAGGCAGCAGUCGGGAAUUUUGGGCAAUGGGCGCAAGCCUGACCCAGCAACGCCGCGUGAAGGAUGAGGUCCUUCGGGAUGUAAACUUCGCAAGCACGGGACGGAUAAGCCGAAGCUAAGACCUUCGGCGAUGACGGUACUGUGCGUAAGCUCCGGCUAACUCCGUGCCAGCAGCCGCGGUAAUACGGGGGGAGCAAGCGUUGUUCGGAUUUACUGGGCGUAAAGGGCGCGUAGGCGGCCACGACAAGUCACCUGUGAAAUCUCCGGGCUCAACCCGGCAGCGGUCAGGUGAGACUGUCGGGCUAGAGUGCGGAAGGGGCCACUGGAAUUCUCGGUGUAGCGGUGAAAUGCGUAGAUAUCGAGAGGAACACCUGCGGCGAAGGCGGGUGGCUGGGCCGACACUGACGCUGAGGCGCGAAAGCUAGGGGAGCGAACGGGAUUAGAUACCCCGGUAGUCCUAGCCUUAAACGAUGGAUGCUUGGUGUUCGGGGUAAUGAAGUCCCCGGGUGCCGUCGCUAACGCCAUAAGCAUCCCGCCUGGGGAGUACGGUCGCAAGACUGAAACUCAAAGGAAUUGACGGGGACCCGCACAAGCGGUGGAGCAUGUGGUUUAAUUCGACGCAACGCGAAGAACCUUACCUGGGCUAGAAUGCUCCGGACCGACUCAGAGAUGGGUCUUUCUGGGUAAGACCAGACCGGAUGCAAGGUGCUGCAUGGCUGUCGUCAGCUCGUGUCGUGAGAUGUUGGGUUAAGUCCCGCAACGAGCGCAACCCUUGUCAACAGUUGCUAGCAGGUUAAGCUGAGCACUCUGUUGAGACUGCCGUUGGCAAAACGGAGGAAGGUGGGGAUGACGUCAAGUCCUCAUGGCCUUUAUGUCCAGGGCUACACACGUGCUACAAUGGCCGGUACAAACCGCUGCGAACUUGUGAGAGGGAGCCAAUCNGGAGAAAGCCGGUCUCAGUUCGGAUUGCAG
rnacentral:rRNA from 1 species